GCCACUUGUAGCAUGUGCAGAUGUAACCAUC
rnacentral:piRNA from 2 species